rnacentral:rRNA from 1 species
UACGAAGGGGGCUAGCGUUGCUCGGAAUCACUGGGCGUAAAGCGCACGUAGGCGGAUCUUUAAGUCAGGGGUGAAAUCCCAAGGCUCAACCUUGGAACUGCCCUUGAUACUGGGGAUCUCGAGUCCGGAAGAGGUUGGUGGAACUCCGAGUGUAGAGGUGAAAUUCGUAGAUAUCGGGAGGAACACCAGUGGCGAAGGCGGCUUCCUGGCCUGUUCUUGACGCUGAGGCGCGAAAGCCAGGGGAGCAAACGGG